GCCGUAGGGGAACCUGCGGCUGGAUCACCUCCUUACAACGACUCGCCGCGUCGGCGCGUCGGAGCAUCCACACAAGUUAUCUGAAUAAUAGGGUCCACGGGCCCAUGGGGGCGGAUUGGGUCUGUAGCUCAGUUGGUUAGAGCGCACCCCUGAUAAGGGUGAGGUCGCUGGUUCAACUCCAGCCAGACCCACCACUUAAGAUUUCACGGAAUGAGAUUAAGGGGCCAUAGCUCAGCCGGGAGAGCGCCUGCUUUGCAAGCAGGAGGUCGGGAGUUCGAUUAUCCCUGGCUCCACCAAUUUCGGAUUGGGUGGCUGCGGAGCGGUUCACCGCUCUUAACCCUUAACCCUUAAGGCUUCGAGAAUCAAAUUCGGCGCUUUGCAUCCGGCGAAGCACCAAGCUCUUUAACAAUCAGGUUAGAUCGCGGAAGGCGCCAAGCCGAACGCAAGUUCGGCUGGAUGCGUUACAAGCGUCAGCGUAUAGCCUCAAGGGAACCUCCGAUCAAAUCGGAGGUUCCUGCGGUACAGGGAUGUGCCGCCGAAAUCGGCAACCCUAGGGUUGCCGAUUUUGAGAGCAAAGCGUAAAUCGCAUUUACGCUUUGCGUGCGCUGACAAGUCCUGGAUGGACUUGUUCAGCGU
rnacentral:tRNA from 1 species